rnacentral:rRNA from 1 species
CAAGCGGAUCUCUUAAAGCCGUUCUCAGUUCGGACUGUAGGCUGCAACUCGCCUACACGAAGCUGGAAUCGCUAGUAAUCGCGGAUCAGCACGCCGCGGUGAAUACGUUCCCGGGCCUUGUACACACCGCCCGUCACACCAUGAGAGUUGGGGAUACCCGAAGCCUGUGAGCUAACAGUAAUGAAGCAGCAGUCGAAGGUAGAAUCAAUGAUUGGGGUGAAGUCGUAACAAGGUAUC